GUGAGGAAUAUUGCGCAAUGGAGGCAACUCUGACGCAGCCAUGCCGCGUGCAGGAAGAAGGCGCUACGCGUUGUAAACUGCUUUUAACCGGGAAGAAACCCCAGGACGUGUCCUGGGUUGACGGUACCGGAGGAAUAAGCACCGGCUAACUUCGUGCCAGCAGCCGCGGUAAUACGAAGGGUGCAAGCGUUAUCCGGAUUCAUUGGGUUUAAAGGGUGCGUAGGCGGAGCGUUAAGUCAGUGGUGAAAUCCUGCAGCUUAACUGUAGACUUGCCAUUGAUACUGGCGCUCUUGAGUGCGCUUGAAGUGGGCGGAAUGUGACGUGUAGCGGUGAAAUGCUUAGAUAUGGCACAGAACACCAAUUGCGAAGGCAGCUCACUAAGGCGAUACUGACGCUGAGGCACGAAAGCGUGGGGAUCGAACAGGAUUAGAUACCCUUGUAGUCC
rnacentral:rRNA from 1 species